GACGAACGCUGGCGGCGUGCUUAACACAUGCAAGUCGAACGGUGAAGCCCUUCGUGGUGGAUCAGUGCCGAACGGGUGAGUAACACGUACGCAACCUGCCCCUGGCUCUGGCAUAACCACUGCUACCGGUAGCUAAUACCAGUUACGACCCGCCUCGGCAUCUGCAGUGGGUGGGAAGUAUGUCGGCUGGGGAUGGGCUCGCGGCCUAUCAGCUUGUUGGUGGGGUGAAGGCUCACCAAGGCCACGACGGGUAGCCGGCCUGAGAGGGCGACCGGCCACACUGGGACUGAGACACGGCCCAGACUCCUACGGGAGGCAGCAGUGGGGAAUAUUGCACAAUGGGCGAAAGCCUGAUGCAGCAACGCCGCGUGAGGGAUGACGGCCUUCGGGUUGUAAACCGCUUUCAGCUCCGAAGAAGCGAGAGUGACGGUAGGGGCAGAAGAAGCACCGGCUAACUACGUG
rnacentral:rRNA from 1 species